UUCGGUGGCUUUACCGGUGGGGAAACACCUGUUCCCAUUUCGAACACAGAAGUUAAGCCCACCAGGGCCGAUGGUACUUGGGGCUAACUCGCCCCCGGGAGAGUAGGUCGCUGCCGAAU
rnacentral:rRNA from 1 species